rnacentral:rRNA from 1 species
GUAGUCUCGCACAGAUGCAUAUCAAUAAGCGGAGGAAAAGAAACUAACAAGGAUUCCCUCAGUAACGGCGAGUGAAGCGGGAAGAGCUCAAAUUCGAAAUCUUGAAAGGUUCACCUUGCACGAAUUGUAGUUUAAAGAAGUGUUUUCUGUUGAAGUUUUGGUAAAAGUUCUUUGGAAUAGGACAUCAUAGAGGGUGAGAAUCCCGUAUUUGACCAUUAUUUUCAGCUGUGUGAUACACUUUCAAAGAGUCGGAUUGUUUGGGAAUGCAGUCCAAAAUGGGUGGUAAAUUUCAUUCUAAAGCUAAAUAUUGGCGAGAGACCGAUAGCGAACAAGUACCGUGAGGGAAAGAUGAAAAGAACUUUGAAAAGAGAGUUAAAUAGUACGUGAAAUUGUCAAAAGGGAAGCGUUUAACACCAGUGUUGUUUUCUGAAAAUCAACCUCUGUUAGCUUUAUGCAUGUUUGUUUAGACCUAAUCAGCUAUCUUGCAUGUUCUAUUGUUUGCAGUGGUGCACUUUUCAGUUUACAGGUCAACAUCAGUUUUUUUUACCGUAAAAAAGUUAAAGAAAGGUAGCUCAUGGCUCCGGUCGUGAGUGUUAUAGUCUUUUUCCUAUGCGGUAGGAGAGACUGAGGUCUGCAGUGUAGGCUAUUUGGCUAGAUACUCAGGUGCUAUGUGAUACCAUUUCAUAAACAACUUGUUGAUUAUGUUUUGUCUAUUGCAUACUCGCUUGUACUAUCAUACCUACGCUUAGGAUGUUGAAGAUGUAGCACAUCAU